GACGAACGCUGGCGGCGUGCUUAACACAUGCAAGUCGAACGGAAAGGCCCUGCUUUUGUGGGGUGCUCGAGUGGCGAACGGGUGAGUAACACGUGAGUAACCUGCCCUUGACUUUGGGAUAACUUCAGGAAACUGGGGCUAAUACCGGAUAGGAGCUCCUGCUGCAUGGUGGGGGUUGGAAAGUUUCGGCGGUUGGGGAUGGACUCGCGGCUUAUCAGCUUGUUGGUGGGGUAGUGGCUUACCAAGGCUUUGACGGGUAGCCGGCCUGAGAGGGUGACCGGCCACAUUGGGACUGAGAUACGGCCCAGACCCCUACGGGAGGCAGCAGUGGGGAAUAUUGCACAAUGGGCGGAAGCCUGAUGCAGCAACGCCGCGUGCGGGAUGACGGCCUUCGGGUUGUAAACCGCUUUCGCCUGUGACGAAGCGUGAGUGACGGGAAUGGGGAAAGAAACACCGGCUAACUACGG
rnacentral:rRNA from 1 species